AAUAGAUACCCGGGUAGUCCACGCCGUAAACUAUGGAUGCUAGCUGUUACCAGUAUCGACCCUGGUAGUAGCGAAGCUAACGCGUUAAGCAUCCCGCCUGUGGAGUACGGUCGCAAGACUAAAACAUAAAGGAAUUGACGGGGACCCGCACAAGCGGUGGAGCGUGUUGUUUAAUUCGAUGGUAAGCGAAGAACCUUACCCAGGCUUGACAUCCUUGGAAGGCUUCCGAAAGGAAACUGUGCCCUCGGGAACCAAGUGACAGGUGAUGCAUGGCCGUCGUCAGCUCGUGUCGUGAGAUGUUUGGUUAAGUCCAUCAACGAGCGCAACCCUUUUAGUUAGUUGUAUUUCUCUAGCUAGACUGCCCUGGUAACAGGGAGGAAGGAGGGGAUGAUGUCAGGUCAGUAUUUCCCUUACGUCUGGGGCUACAAACACGCUACAAUGGCCGGUACAAAGGGCAGCCAAGUCGCGAGACGGAGCAAAUCCCACCAAAGCCGGUCUCAGUUCGGAUAGCAGGCUGAAACUCGCCUGCUUGAAGCUGGAAUCGCU
rnacentral:rRNA from 1 species